ensembl:lncRNA
GUCCAGUAACAACCACAGUUGUGUUUGCGAGAUUUGUGUGAUGACAGCCCGAGCGCCUCCCCAGCAUUUUGUUUCUUCCUGUGCCAGGGUGCUGGCUUAGCCCGCAUCCAGCAGCACCCAGGGCUUGCUCUCCCACGCUCUGCUCAGCACAUCCCACCUUGCACCGUGCUGGCAAAGGUGAGAAUGGAGAAGGACUGGUAAAACACUUUUUUCCAUCUUGCAGAUUGCACUUGCGCUGCUUAUCUGGCUGCUUGAUCCAUGAGAACGUGUCUCGGAGCAUCUGGAAACGUGUGGAUAGCUUCCAUCCCCUCCCAGAGACUUGCGGGUCCUGGCUGCGCGCAGGAGGAGGAUGGGAGAUUUGGAGCCGUGGCCGCUCUGCAUGGCAACAUGCCUGUGAGGUUUGCUGUGCUUGGAUAGAGCAGAACUGUGCAAAAACAGAACAAGAUGGGAUUUUUCCAGGUUUAAUUUGAGCUUUAACUUGUUCCAAGUGUAACAUUGAGAUCUUACCGCUUCUUUUGUUUUCCACGCUCCGCUGCGCUCUGUGGCAGCAGCAGUCACAAGUGUCAGACCAUCAACUAAGCCUGGUUUUGAGUUGAGUGUGAAGGAAACUACACUGACAAUGAAAACACUCGCGGGGUAUUUCCAUGCCAAGGCUGUGUGCAGGUUUGGCACCCCUCCUCCCUUUGCACACCCCACAGUGAUGUUGGAGCUCAGUGGGUGAAGGUGGGAGCGGGGCCACUCGUGGCAGCCAUGGUGCAUGGGUCCGGUGGGAUUUGCGUCUCUAUUUCUCUGUUGCUGUUCUGAGUGGAGCUUGUGUGAGUAAACCUAUUGUGGUUUUAAGUUAACGUGCAAUUGGACAAGGAAGAUUAUUUGAGUGUUUGCUCUGUAUGUUUCUCCUUUGUCUUUUGUCUUGCUUGACUGAUACACAGCAAUGCACUUUGGCAACCUCAGCCUACCCCUCUACUCUCAUUAGCACUCCAGCAUGUGUUUUUACUUUAUGGAGGGCCGCACGGCGUUGCGGAUGGCAAUGGGAGAGGAGGUGGUGUGGGUAUGUGGCAACCACUUCUAGCACUGACAGCAUCCUGGCAUUUUUGAGAAGCCAGAGUUGUCACACGGUUUGUUCUGAAAGCCAUUUGCAAUCUUAACUGUAGUAACAGUCAUAAUCAUCGUCCCGCUAGUGCAGAGGAUGUGUGGGAGAAACAGGCCUCCUUGAAAAUUCCCUCCGAGGCCGUGCCAAGCCUGAAGCAAUCUUUUUUUCAUGACGGAAAGCCAUUCUCACGGCGGUGGGUAGCAGCCCAGCUGCGACGUGUCAGCGCCGAGCGCUGCGUCCCGCUCUGGAGCAGCACGGCUCCGCUGCAUCCUCUCGUCAAGUGUGUAGGAGGCGGCGUGGUCGUUUCUGCAGAAGCAGGGAAAUGCAGCCCUGGCUGUGCUGCGAUGUCCUCUGAGUCAGCAGAGCGGCCCUGUGCCCUCCCGGCCUCGCAGCCUGCUGCAUGGAGCGGCGGUGCCGCAUGGCAGCCCCUGGGACGCAGCGCAGCCACACACAACGGAUGGGGCUGUCAGAGCCGUGCUGUGUGCUUAUGGCUGGGGAGGUGCUCUGGGCACAGGGCUUGUCGCUGCUGCAGAAAAUUGCCCCACAGGGGGUCGUUUCUUGUGCUUCUUCCCAGCCUGAUAGCGUGUGGUAGGAUGGAGCUUUGGAAGCUGGAUGAAAAUCAGUUCUGAGUUUAAAAAUGCAGCCAGGUGUGGUCGGUCGAGUCAUUUUUCUGCCUCCUGAUGCUUCAUAGACAUGUCAGCAGUGGACAUCAUCACAAGCAUAAGGAACGAAGUGAUCUAAAACUCUCCACCAAGCAGGGAAGUAGCAUUAAUCUUGUUUUAUUCAGAGGGAGAUGGAAAUAAAGGAGUUUGAUACAGCUUGUCCAACAUCACAUGGAGGAUCUCUUUUACAAAAACCAGAUCUCUCAUCUCUUAAUCUGAGGCAUUAGCUGCAGCAACAUCCUUCUUCCUUAACGUCCCUUCAUGCAUGCAGUAACUUUGCACUAACGGUCUGUUUUUAUUGGGCAUCGCCUUGAGAAAUGAUUUCUUUGAGCCCCGGCCAACUCACUCACUGGCUUUUGUUCAGCUGUAAUGAGAUGGCUUAACAUAAAUUCAGGAGCAUGCCAGGGCUUUGCACCUGAACAGGCAGCCAGAGGUCUGAACCCUACGUCCAACACUUAGAAAAACAUCCCCGGAUGUUGUUUGCAGAGAAUCAGUGAGGAAGAGGAUGAAUGCAGAUGUGUGACACGUGCCAGCUGCAGCGAUCUCAGGUACUUGGGCCUGAUUCUUUCUCGUGUUACGCUGUAUCAUUGCUCCCUGGUUCAGUCUGCAUCUUUUCUGUCAGAGAGGCAGGGAGGGGAAGAUGUGGCCUCACAUCAGCGAUGUUGGGCCCAAGCAUGACUCCAGAGAGGCUGGCUGAUUGGGGGCAGAAGGAAGCGAGGUUUUGGUGGUGGUAGAGGGGCAGUGCUGGGUCCUACAGCAGAAUGGGGCAGUGGGAGUGCCAGGGCCUUCCGUGCCACCCUGAUUCUGAACAGUAUUGCUGUGACUGACUUUGUUUGCUGUUUGCAAUAGUUUUCUCUUUGGGUCCCAGACCAGGCAGUUUUUGGCUUGGUUUUAAUUACCAUCUGACCUCCUCACUGCUAGUUCUCUUCUGCACUUGCUGUGUUGCAGUCAUUUUGCUCUGGGCGGUAUUCUGGGAAAAACUAGGACAAGCUCCUUGGUGCCUUUGGUAGAUGUUAUGCCUGGAAGGUGGCCCAGUGCUGUAAGAAAUGCUCCUGACUGAGUAAGAGAAGCCAAGAAGUAAAAAGUUAGGAUAGCAUUCCAGUUAAAACAUGGGAGCACCUCUUGCCAUUUCAGAGUGGCUUAGCCUAUGUCAUCACAGUGCUGAAAGAAAGGAGGGUCUGGAUGCCGCAGCUCCCAGGAGAGUACUGAUCAUAUAAACAACAAUGAAAAGCUUCCAGUGAUAGCCUGGAACACCACCUUCUGUCUGUCUGUGUAGUGCUGGGGAGGACAGCCCCACAAGGCAGGCCCCAGCGUGCGCUCCUGUCGGUGUGGGUGCUGCUGGCAAGAGGUGGUGGUUCUGCUAUGGGUUUGUCAAGUCCUUUUUCUAACGGGGCUCUGGCCUGAUGGUGCUGUAGCUGUGUAAAGGGUGAAUAUUGAAAUGUUAUUAUCUAGUCCUGAGCAGGCACAAACUCGCUGUUUUUCAUCCCUGCUGAAUUUGCCAUCCCUACUGAGUUAUUCUUAGAAUGUUGUUGAAUAAAAGCCUAGCUUGUCAGCAUGGCUUCUUUUUGAUUGUAUUUGUGCACUGAGUCUAACCUACGGACAAUGGCGAGCGUCAUACUGAUUUGUGGAAAUGCUCCUAAUUCUUUGUCUUGUGCCUUUUUAAAUGAAGCAGUCUCUGAAGUGUUUAUCUACAGCGCAUAAAAGCCCCUAUAAAUGGAUGCAUAUUCCUAACUUUAUAAGACUUGCAUAUUAAUCUGCUUAUUUUCUGCCUGAACAAAGGGCCUCCGGAACCCACAAACGUAGUCAUAAUUCUCCUGAUCUGGUUUGCUGCAAGGUUUUGCUUGACUACACAGAUGUUUUCCAUGUAUUUGGCAAAAGAGGGGUCAAAGCCUGCAUCUGGCCCACUAUUUCUGGCAAAAACCCCGAUGUGCUUAAUCCUUUUUGAACAUGAAUAUUCUGAGAGCUCAUUUGAUUUAUUAACCUGAUUAUUUUAAUGUGGAGAAACAAUGUGGAACAGUGACCUUCGUUCAGGAAAAUGCUUGUCCAAGUGUUUCUGCUCUGAAUCCGUCCAAGCUCAAUGCAGAGUGUGUGAAGGACUGGUGUACACCACAGGGCUACUCAGGGACACAGUUUUCAAAGUUGGCUGCCUAAAAGAAAGCAUCUUUAACGAGAGCGGCUGGGUUUCAGAAGCUGCUGAGGAGCCACUGAUGCCAAGCAGAGCCCAAUUUACAAUCACUGAGCCAAGUUUUUCUUUAUAACUGCAAACCCUGAGAAAUCUCAAUGGGAAAAGAAAUCUGGAUGUUUCAAAACGUACUUCUUUUCAUUCUGCAUGUAUGGCAUGGAUUGAAUAGCAGUCAUCCAGAAAGCAGAAAUACCAGUGUCAGAGUCAGAACGCUUAUACAGGGUAGAGAUUUGCUGUUCCAUUUCACUCUUCUAUCCUGGUGUGACUUUGUGACCUCAAGAAAUCCCUUUCUAUCAUGAAAGCUGUCUCCAAGAAUUGGCACCUUUGUGAUUACAUCUCAUUUCUGGUGCUGGAGAGCUGCAUCCAGGAGCUCAAGCUGUGAAGUGGUGAACAAAGCCCUCUGCUAUGUUGUGCUUCUUCACAUAGAUGAAAAUGGACACAAAGAAGCUGGAUUGUGUCUUAAGGUGAAGAAAGAUGCAGCAGCAACUUUGUGAUGGUGCUCCUGGAGAGCAGCGCGGUGCAGCUGGGCUGUGGGGACCACCAGCAUCCCUGCCUCUGCAUCACCCCAUCCAGCACUGGGAAGCACUUCUGUAGGCGUGGAGGUUUCCAUCUUCCAGGCUGUUUGGGCAUGGAGUGCUCCAACAAGGUCACUGACUUGCCCUGUUAUUCUGAAGGUCUCCAUAUCCAUGUGACAUGUGCAGUCCAUGUGAACUAUCUACAGACAUUAGAGAUUUACACUUUUUGUAGACCUUUGAGGAUGCAAAUCCUACAAGUUGCACUUUAAAGAUCUUCUGCUUGGCGUCACAGCCCCAUCCGUGCCAUCUGGAGGAGCGGAGCAGCCCCGAGCUGGCUGAUGGAGACAAGCUGAAACCAGACGUAUAUCUGUGGAGAUCUAUUCUUCUGAAGCACGGACAGAUUUCCUGAGCGCCACCAUUCCAAAGGCAGGCACAGGGAUGCAGCACCAGGCACCAAAGCAUUGUCCAGCCCAUCAGCACAAAGUGACAUGAGAGGGUGUCUGGACUAAAGUAUAGGCAAGAGAAGCUAAACUAAGCCCUACUAAGCAGAGCAACGUCCCAGUCCUGCAAGAAGCUGGUGCUGAAGUGCAAAAGGGUCUGCAAAAACUGAAGACAAAGGAAGCCUCAAAAUAGUGAAACUUCAGAUGAGAAAUUCUUGUGUGUGAGUUCUGGUUUGUUUGUUUGUUUGUUUGUUUUUAAUAUUCCCUACAACCUCUUUAUCUCUUUUACAUUUGAAUGAACUAAAGAAACCAAAAUCUGAGGAAACUGGCUGUGGCAGAAAGCAGAGCCAAGGCCAGGUUUCCAGGGGAUGAGUAAGAAAGAAACCUACAGCAAGUAACCAAAACCAAAACCCAGCCUCGAGCUGUUAUCAUCAAGUUAUCUUGAGUAAACUAUGUAUUGUGUAUUUCCUGAAGAGCAUGACCAAAAUUCAUUGAGACCAUUGCUCUCUCAGUAGGUUAUGGCGAAAUGCCCAACUAAUGUUGUAUGCCUCCUUUUUGAUUCAUAGCCAAAAGGAUUUGUUGGUUUGUUUUCACUCAUUCCUUACUCAUGAAAAAGAAGUGAGCUUAAUGGGUUUUGCAAUUCAUUUUUCAUUUGUUCGGGAGCACUUCCUCCAUCCAAACCAUAGACAGAUUGUUUCCCAGCAUAGAAAAAUCUGUACUGAUGUGGCUGAGAUUUAGCCACCUCAUUUGCUCUACCAGGAGCGCUCUGAACUUCUGCAGGGCACAGUGAGUUUCUGGUGGCAGCACCAAACUUGACUUAUUCCAAAAAACUUCCCCAAAUUGUAAAGUAUCACUGAAAAGAAAGAAAACACAAUUGUCUUCAACCACUAUGGCUGCCCUAAUUUGAAUCACAUGGGAAAGCGCUUUGUUAAUGGCUUUGUUCUUUUACUCCUUGUUGGCAAUACAACAAAACAAAACGCCCCAUUCUUUGUUGUUUUUCCUUUAUGUGUUGCUUUUCCAUCUGGUUUGAGAAGAAACUGGCCUCCUGGGUCAGUAAUCAUGUUGAAAGACUUGAGAACUGGGGUAGAUUCCCUCAAAUUCCUGAAUAACCCCUGACUGACCACUUUACCUCCACUGCUCUUCUGUAAAAUGGCAGUAAGUUGACUUUACCUCCUAGGGCCUUUGUUAGAAAAUGUAUUUAUUGCUGUGCCCAGGUACCCAAAAUUCAAGGCAAAUGCGUGUUGUAUUUUUCAUUCAGCAUGUCCAGUGUAGAGUUUAAGCUAAUAUGCCCCGAUUAUGGCUCAUGAUGAUGCGAUGAUUCGUAAGAGGAACAAGUUGGAAUAGAUUGAAAUAUAUACAUGUAAAAGAAGCGUGUGCGGCCUCCCAGCACUCUUUGAAAUAUAAAUGUGAGAAUUCCUUUAGGUGUAGUGCUGGAAGCCCUGGAAACCCUCAUGCCAGCUCACACGGGCAGGUGCUGAGCAGAAGGAGCAUGCCAGGAGACACAGAAGAUUUGGUUCCUGCCAGCAGGCCGCAAAGGCUGCAGCCCCACAGUGCUCUGUUGUUGCAAGCCUAGGACAGGCAGUGGGAUGCACCCUGUGAGUGCUGCCUUCUGCUUUCAAGCUCAGGCAGAAGGCUUAUUGCGGUAUGCCCUGGACCUGGGUAUUGGUUUUGUGUUUUGUUUGUGUUGUGCUUUUUUCCUUGUCUGCUUUUUUACCACCAAUUUUUCUGAGUUCAAUUUUCAUUUGAUUCCCUCUCUUAGGCUAUUAUUUACAAUCGAACAGCAAAAUGUUACAGGCUGAGCAGGCAGGGCACUAUAUAUAGCAAAAGCAGGGCAGUUCCCUGCUCUAAUCAUCUCCUGCUGCUUUUAUGUAGAUAGUAAAUGAUGGGCCACAGGGUGAGCUGCAAUUCAGCUCUAGGAAAUGCAUGUCAAAGGAGUUUAAGCACUGCAUCCUGCCCACACCAAGAGGAGGUAAUUUGGGCUUGACAUGGCAGUACUGGGUUUUCACAGAGCUGAAGAGUUUCAGAUGAGAUCUUGUGUCCUUUGGCCGAGCGCCCAGAGAGCCCAUGUUUCAGAAUAGGAUAUUUACAACAGCAAACUGUAGCGUUCCCCGCUUUGAGUAACAGGCAGAUUUCAGCCAAAACAAAACAAAAGAAAAGCAGCCUUCAUUCACACCGUCCCCCUCUGCUGACCCUGCUGUCGUGCUCAGCCUCUCUCAGCCCUGGGUAGCGGGCCUGCCUCGGCUGGGGACAGCCUCACGGCUGCCAUUUGCUUUGUUUGUGCUUCAGGCUCCUUCCACUGCCUCGCCUCCCCCGAGCCGCCUGGCUUGCACUGGCCUUUUUCCCUCUGCCAAGCCUGCUUCACUGCCUGCUCAGGUCUGGGGCCGUUCUGCUGCCUGCUCUUUUUACAGCAGUCCAAGUGAGCAGAAAUAGUUGAACCAACAAUAAAAGUUUGCCAGCUCUGGUCAUUUGGGUCCUACAACUGAAACACAGUGUGAGAAAGCUUAAGCAGGAGCUUUGCUGAUGGGGCUUAGUCCCAAAUCCAUGCAAAUCCAAGGUAAUCUGGAAGCUGCUCGCUGCCCUUUCUUAGCAUCACGGUGUCAAAAGGCUUCAGCAGAGCAGGAGCUGAAGGAGCCAGGAGCUGUGUGCAUGCCUUGUCAGAGAAAGUUUGUGAGCUGAAGGUUUUAUAAGCUGCCUGUUUCAAACAGCAAGAAAGUUGAGUGCAGCAGUUCUGCUCUCACCAGCACAGAGCCAAGGGAUGCAGGCUCAGGUCCAGCUCUGAGCAGCAACCGAGGCGCUGCAAUGCAAAGGAGUAGGCAAGUUGCUGAGGACAAGGCCCUUAGUUAUUUUUUCUGCCCAGCUGAAGGAUUGUUCAUGCAUUUUAUUCACCGUCUGAUUAAUGUGAAGUACAAAAGCACUCUGCCUUUGCAAGCAGGAGUGAAACUGCAGUCUCCACCCUCCCAGAGGAAUGACUUAAAUGUGAAGCUCUGGUGUCGUGCUCUUCCUUUCCUUCUAUCUGAUCAAAUGCAUUUUUAAUUCUUUAAUGCAAAGUAGGAAAGCAUCAGUACGAGAGUUUAAGAGCUCUGCUUUGUUCCAGAAAAGCCUCAACCAUGGUUGCUAAAGAGCUCCGCUGGGAACACAGGCACAGCUCCUGCCUUUGUGGGAGCUAACAUUGAACUCCUGUGCUCGGCGACCACCUACCGCACUGCACGAGCAAGAGGUCACUUGUUGGCAUGCAGCACCAGGUACAGCGGCAUUUCCUCCCUGGUGGUCUCGGGAGGGGCUCAGAGGAGGGCUGCCUGGGACCCCAAGCUCCGGCCCUGUGCACCAAGAGCAGAGGUGCAGGGUUAGCCACACCACGGCAUGAGCUCUUCAUUGUCCACUACUGGGUUUCAACACGCUUCGGGAAGGCGCCAUUCCUUAGGAGCUGUCUUAUGCUCUACUGCCUACGUGAAAUGCAGAUGGACCCAGUGGUCUGCCCAAAAUGAAAUAAAAGCUGGAUGUGCUGUUCAUUCCAGAUGUUUCCAGAACAGAUGCAAAACAUUCCAGGGUCGCUCUUCUCAAGGUGUUGGGGUCACUUGCUGGAUUGUUUUCAUUGAAGGCUCGGUACGACCCAAGUCACCGAUCCUUUCCAGUUAAGUCACUUCAGAUGAACACAGUGAAAGCCAAUAAAUAAACAGGAGAACUGCUGAUUGGAAAUGUUUUCCUAUUGCUGCCACCAGUAAAAGCAGCCAGCAAUCUGCUGUGUUUGCAGGGUGAAACAGAGUACAGACUUUUUAGUCCUCAAUCCAGCGCUCACCUAAGAGAUUUAGGGCCAGAUAUCCCAUUUAUUUACACCUAUGUAAAAUUAAGGACAUUUCAUCCAAGUUAAUGUACCACCAGGUGGUGGAUUUUGCCUCAGAUCUCAUUAUUUGUUGGACUUCAAUUUAUAUUCAGCCACUGUGCAUAUACACACAUACAAAGCGGUAAUUUUUUACCAACAAUAGGAGUGGAGUUUGCUAUAUAAAUCAGCGUUUCUCAGUCAAUAUGUUGCAACCCCUGCAGGGGUUAUAAAAACCAUCUGGGGGCCUGUAAAGCACCGAAAAUUUUAUAACAAUCUAAAGCAAAGAAAAUGUCAUUUCUUCCACUCUCCAUAUAGCAGCACCAUUCUGUUGGCAGCCUGUCAAAACCAUCCAAGAAACAAU